rnacentral:lncRNA from 1 species
GGGGGGCCACAGUGCUGCUCCUGCAAAACCCGAGCAGCUGCACGUAAAGCAGAAUUGUCAGGAAUGUGAGUGCCAAAGACUGAAAAAAAAAAAAAAAGAAAGGGGAAAAAAAGCCCACUCUGAGAAUGAAGAUGCUCGGAGAGAGACAGCAAAGAGCGUGAGGUCAGAGAGAGCAGCUUAUGCAAAGGCUUGAAAGAAGCAAGGGAGCGUAGCAAGAGUGGGAGCCCAGCCUUCAGCCGCCUGACAGCUGGUAGGGGAGGAAGAAAAUGAAUUCAGGUGUUGAUUAAGAGGGAUCCACAGCUGAAGAUGCUGUGCUUCCCCCCGCUGCAGCCCUUUCCCCUUCCAGAUGCUCUGGGAGAGAGGCUGCCAUCCUUGUUUUGAUUUUGCAGCCCUACACCCCGAGGUUAUUUGGCCACAGCGGCGAUGUGAGCUCAGCUCCUCCAGGACACGGCUCAGUGCUCUGCCUCCUCCCGGAGCCGCUCUGCCUUCAGCAGUCCUGGCAGAGUGCUGAACAUGCUGUGGGUCCAGGUGAGCUCCCUCCCAGUGGGAGCAUCCAAUGAAGGCUGCAGCAAAGAGUGGGUGGAAGAGCAGAGCCAGGAGCUGCACGGGCGCAGCAGGAGCCCACUGCUGGAUUUUCCUGGGAGGAGACCCUGCUGCUGCCUUGCUCCAUCCCACCGGCUUCCCGUCCUGAUGAGAAAGGCAAAGUUAUUUUGGGAACAUCAUGAAUGAAAACCGAGAGGUGACCCAGGCAGCCAUGAGGUGGGGGCAGCCAGAGACAACACUUCUACCCACAGAAGAUGCUCCGGAGGCUGUUCGCCUUUGAUUCCUUCUCCCCAGUGCAAUGAGGAGCAAUUAUCCUUCCCAUAAAAGACUCCUUCUUUUAGGGGACUCAUAGCGACUUCAAAGAAAGGGCAGGUCUCUCUGGGGAACAAAGUUGUCAUUUGAGUGAUUCUAGGCUGAUGAAAAGUGCCCGCCUGCUGCUGCCCGGCCCUCUGCUCCCACCCAGGCUUGGUUCAAAGCGAGCAGCCCCAGGGGAUGGUGCAUUCCAUGCAGUGAUCCCAUGCUGUGGGACCCCACCUCGGCCGGGACCUGCAGCUCUGAUGCUCACCUGGCAUUGCCCAUAGGGCUGAGCAGCAUUUUGGGGCUCACUCCUUGCAAACAGGAGCUGCUUCCCAGCUGCUGCUGUGGUUGUAGGUGGGAGGAUGGGCACAGUGACCCCAUACCCAAACAUUGCAGCAGCCUUGUGGGGAAGCAGCCUGGUUCCCCAAGCUCUCAGCACCCAAUUGCCUGCAGCCCCAUGGGAUGUGAUGCGCUGAAAGAGUCCCUGUUUCAUCCCUCACAUGCGGAAAGAAAGCACAAAGAAGUCACACAAGCACCAGCAGCUUUGCUGGAGCCACUUAGGGCUGUGCUACCCCACGCAGCGAUGGGAGGGAGCUGGGUUGCAAUGAGGCAGAAGGCACCAGAAAAGCAGGCUGGUUUCAGGUGUCCCGAGCGCUGCCGACCUGAUCUUAUCUCCAGCUCUGGGUAGGGGUUAUCUCUGCUUCCUGUGAUGAAAGCACCGUGAGAGACAGUGCUGGCAGGGGAGGUGAGGUGAAUGCCAUUUGGUAACACAGGUGUCUGACUUUACUUGCGACAAAGGCAGCCCCGAGGUGCAGAAAGACCCCUGUCCAACCUUGAGUCCCUGCCCCUAUUGCCCCCUGCAUCCCCACCUUGGGUGCAGGACACCUCUGCUCCCUCACCCCAGCUCCCCAUUGCUUUUGUACUGAUGAGUACUGAUGAUCUGCAACCUCCACCUGCCAUUUCCUCCAAGCUGGAAUUCCCAGCUCCUGGAUUCAGCCACCUCCACCUUUUGGUCGGAUUUCAGAGCCCAACAUUCUUUCUCAGGACCCAUUUUUCUCCCACUUCACGCAGUCCCAUCUCAACCCAGCGUUAGCAGUCAGCAGAGCUGAGGCUGCGAGCAGAAGCCUGGACGUGGUGGGGGAUGAGGCAACGAGGGGCUGGGAUGCAAAUCUUGGCAGAAACCUUCUCUGAGGCUUUCUGGCUCCCAGCAAUGCUCCAAUCUGCUAAUUGACUGCACGCAGCCCCGGCUGAGCUCUGACUUCCAGCUUGUGCAUCGCUCAGCACAGCCGCACGGAUGCGUGGGAUGCACAGCAUCCUCGUGUCACGUUUGUGGGGAACAAUGGGGCUGCUGAGCAAAGCCAGCCCUACAUGGGGACACUGCAGGCAUCACUCUGUGUCCCUGUCCCGUCCCCCACCUCCCCAGACAGCUGCAUAGGUUCAUUUCCCUGGCAAAUGAACAGCGGGGAAGGGGGCAAAUAAUGCUGGAGCCCAGGUGGCCCCUCUCACUGCCCAGUCCCAAUGGGAUACUGGCGGGGGGACAGGGAGAGAAAGGGGGAAUGAGUGGUCUGGGAGUGCUCGCUGGUGGGGAUUAAAGGCUCAAUCUUGAGAUGAGAGAAG